rnacentral:rRNA from 1 species
AUUGAACGCUGGCGGCAGGCCUAACACAUGCAAGUCGAACGAGUGGCGGACGGGUGAGUAAUGUUUGGGAACCUGGCUUAUGGAGGGGGAUAACGACGGGAAACUGUCGCUAAUACCGCGUACCAUAGGAUGAGCCCAAGUGGGCUUAGGUAGUGGGGGGGGAAAUGGCCUACCAAGCCGACGAUCCCUAGCUGGUCUGAGAGGGUGAUGAGCCACACUGGAACUGAGACACGGUCCAGACGCCUACGGGAGGCAGCAGUUGGGAAUUUUGGACAAUGGGCGAAAGCCUGACCCAGCAAUGCCGCGUGUGUGAAGAAGGUCUUCGGAUUGUAAAGCACUUUGAGUGGGGAGGCGUUACCUACAGAAAAAGCAACGGCUAACUACGUGCCAGCCGCCGCGGUAAUAC